rnacentral:miRNA from 1 species
UUUCUCUACAUUUUGUGCUGCAG